GACAUCGAGGAUAAAGUGCAGGCAAGGCUAAGUA
rnacentral:sRNA from 1 species